rnacentral:rRNA from 1 species
AAUAUUGCACAAUGGAGGGAACUCUGAUGCAGCAACGCCGCGUGAGUGAAGAAGGUUUUCGGAUCGUAAAACUCUGUCAUUGGGGAAGAAUAAAUGACGGUACCCAAUGAGGAAGCCCCGGCUGACUUCGUGCCAGUAGCCGCGGUAAUACGGACGGGGCGAGCGGUGUCCGGAAUUUUUGGGCGUAAAGGGUUCGGAGGCGGCUUCUUAAGUCAGGUGUGAAAGACCACAGCUUAACUGGGGGGUUGCAUUUGAAACUGUGUAGCUUGAGUGCAGGAGAGGAAAGUGGAAUUCCUAGUGUAGCGGUGAAAUGCGUAGAGAUUAGGAGGAACACCAGUGGCGAAGGCGACUUUCUGGACUGUAACUGACGCUGAGGUACGAAAGCGUGGGUAGCGAACA